GCCAAAGGAGGGAGAGGGCAGAGUGUGUUUUGGCUGAGGUUAUAAGACAAGAGGCAAAAGACAAGAAUUUCUGCUGAAGAUAAGCAGUGCCAUUUUCCUUAAGGUUCCAUGAUCAGAUGAACUUAAUUACAUAUCCUCAUCUGGCUAAUGUCUUGCAACAGACAGAGCCCAAAGGAAAGGAAAGUCUCCUUAGUGGCCAGAAGGGAAAAGCUUCACCCAGGGAGACCUCAGACAAGGACUGAACCAAACGUCCUCCAGUAAACAUUUUCUGCAUGAAAAAGGGGCUUCUAAAGGAUCUGAAAUGCUUCCCCAAGUGUGCGUUUUUGCUGGUACUGGCAGCCCCUGAUCAGUUGCUGCUUCAGUGCCAUGUUUUUGACUUAAAAUCCUCUUCUCUUAUCAUGACAUCAUACUUACAUAGCCUAUCAGAUUUGGCUAUGCAGUGAUAUUAUUUAGGCGAAAUGAUGCUGAUUGAGAGUAGCAGGAUUUUUGUUUGGUUCUGUUCAUUUUCGUUAUUGAUCAUCUCAUUUGUUUAGUUAUUCAUACUUAAAAUAGCAUUUACUGAAACAGCAUUUAUUUUGUUAUAUUUCUUUUCCUUGAAGCAUGGCAGUAGCAGCAGGCUUCUCUCUACCAUUUUAAGAUGUUUGUUACAUUUUAGACAGGCGGCACACCUGCGUCCGAACUUCUUUCCUGGUGGCCAUAAUGUUCAACCCGCUCUAUGUCCCCAACACAGUGUCAUUCAUGAACAAUGCAAGGGUGAAUGGGGAAUGGUGGAUGCUGAGAAAGGAGCUCUGCUUCCAGUGGCAACUGUUUCAAGGGUAACAGAAGUUAAAAGCAAAGCUAAGAAAAAGUCUCCCACUGCUGCCACAUUACCCUCCCUUAAUUAAAAUGAAUGGAGGUCCAGAUUAAAUUAAUGCACAUGCCAUCCAGUAUGCAAUUAUGUAUAGGCACUCGUUUUAGAAUGAAGAAAAAAAUGAAUCAGAUGGACCUGAUUUAGUUUGCUUUUUCAUUUGCUCUGAAAUAAAUACAUACUCCUAAUUCACAGGGAGUGCAGUGCUUGGUAAGAAAGCAGAGGAACAUACUCUUUGCGGUGUUUCCUUUGAAUCAGAGUUACUGAAAAAGAUCUCCCUGCAGCUGUGGAGAAGGAGCUUUUUGCAGGAGGAUAAAAAAUUAGCAAAAGGCACUCUCUGUCCUGGCUAAGCCAUACCCUUCAUAACUGUUCUUGUUCUGUUCAGUUAUUGGAAGUUUUGGGAACUGGAGGUUUUUUAUGGUUUGCAUUCUUCACAAGUAAAAUGCAGUGUGUUUCUUAGAAUUUAGGCAUUGUUCUUUAGUCUAUUGAACAAUCAAGUGUCAAGCCCAGUAUAAUUGAGGGACACCUACACUGGAUUGAAAUAAAUGGAAUUAAAUUGUGUAGUUAAAUGUUUAUGUCUUUUUGAUUACAAUGAGUUUUAGGUACAUCAUACUUUUGCUAGAUUGCAAUCUUUAUUUUCAUGAAGAAAAUCAUUUUGCAUGUGUAACUUGGGGAACUGUUCCACUUUCUAGAAUUCAUUUUUAAAAAUAUAAAACAUAUUAACUCCAAUCUGCACAUUUGGUUAUUUCAAAGUAAGCUCAUUGGAACAAAUGGGGAAGCAUCUUUAAUUAUCUCUAUUUGGCAGGCCAAGUGAAGGUAUUUAUCCAUUGUAUAUAUAUUGGUUUUUUUUCAGAAUAGAAGAAAAAGCAAUGAAAAUAAGUAUGUAUUUUUGUGUAUGUAAGCCAUUUUAGCACAAAUGUACUUGGCAGAACAUGGUCACCGUUAACCUUCAUUUCAUACUAAAAUGUAUGUUUAUAAAUAAAGAGAGAGAUACUGUGAUAAAUUAGGUCAUGUGCAAAAACACGAUGGAAUCGUUCUUUUAUUGUUUGGAAAAACAGAGUCUGCUAAAUUUGGUUUUCUGAUAUUAGUUUUAAAAUAUUGGGGUAAACAAAGACAAUUCCCUGAAGACUAUUUUAGUGUCUUUAAUAGUGCAGAUGAGAGGAUAGAGGCAUGUUUUUUGUGGGUUUUUUGAAUGCACAAGAUCAAAUCUGCUCAGCUAUGAAACACCCUGGGUGGUUUUGGACAAGUCACACUCUGUUAGCCUAACCUACUGCACAAGGUUUUAGGAGAAAUGGGAUCAGCACUUCAUACAUUGCCCUAUAGAACUGCUAUAGAAGUACCAUUAACAUGCUGAAUAACAAACUCUGCUGAAAGGUGUUUUCUAGUUCUAAAAGUUCUUAUUGACUUAAAUUCUUCAGGAGAGCCCCAUAAUUAUCUGUGUUAAAUAUUGCUUAUUAGCAUUGGGAUUGCUGUUGUAUAAGCUUUUUACACAAUCUUUUUGAGGAAUCUAGAGUUUUGCAUAUGUAUUCAGUUUCAUGGAGAUUUUAGUUUAUUAUACGUGUUUUCACCCAAACUGCAGAUUUUCAAACUCUGAAAUGGUAAUAGUUUCAGAAGAUAGUUGCACACUAUAGAAUAGAGCAGGAAUACAUUAAGAAUGUGAAGAAAAUAUAAUUCCAGUACUGUAUAUGAGCUGAUAUUUUGGAAUUAACUGAAUCUUGAAAAACUGCAAACUACCUUUACUAGACAAAUACAUUCAGUCUAUGUGUUGGGCAAUAGUUUGAAAUUCCUCCAUUACUAGGGCUGUCUUAACAAUGAUUUCCGUUUAACAAAAUAUUUAAAUGUUCAUUUUAAUUAAGUGUUGCAAUAUUGUUUCUUUACCUUUUAAAGUAAGUUAUGUAGACAGUAAUCAGCAGUAAAAUUAAUGGGCUUUAACUUCCAUGUCAUGGUUUUUUAGGAUUAGAGAGUAAGGCUGUUUUUCUUCUACUUGAAGUUGUUCUUUUCAUUGAAUACACAUACAAAUAUCUGGAUAGUAUGGCAACUAAUUUAAUUUUUAGAAGGUAUUAAAAUUAUUCCACUCUCCCCUGAAUUUUAAAAACUAGAAAAGAUUAUUAAAAGUCAGGUAAAUGUAUUUUCUGAGAAAAGAUAAGUCCUUAAAUGCGUGUUGACAAAAUGGAUUUAUGUUAUGAUUUGCUUUGAACUAUUGGUUUCAUCAGCAUUGGUCAGCUGAAUAAACACCCUGGGCAUUUUAUGCUUCUUUGGACCCAGCCAAUGUAAAUGGAUACACUGAAUUUUAGUACUGUUUUUCAUUUGUUUUGUAGAUGCUAAAUGAUUGUUUUGGUUCUUUCAGUCUAUAUUCUUGCUUGUCGGAAAUAAAGGAUACCUUUGAAUCCCCAGC